rnacentral:lncRNA from 1 species
GAACUUUUACCGCUAUCUGAUAGUUCGAUCUUCCCUGGGUGGACGUUUUGGGUAGCUUUCUGACGUCCUCGACCUGAUUCCGGUAAGUUUCAGGUUCUAGGGUUUCUGCUGUUAGGAGCUAGGGUUUUCUCUGUCAAUUGAAAGUCGUUCUUCUCCGGUCGCGAAGAAGGCGGGUAAAUCUAUUCUUGUUCUAGGUGUUAUAUGCUUUGCAUGUGGUUUUUUAUACAACUCUAGUUUUCCGAAUUGUUUACCGAGACUGUUUUUGAUUUCAAACUCAUUGUUGUUCAUGACUUCUAACAUGAGUUUUUACCGAGACUGUUUUUUAUUUCAAACUCAUUAUUGUUCAUGACUUCUAACAUGAGUGUUAAUACAUCCUCUGUUGACCCUACCAGCCCUCUUUUUGUUUACUCCUCUGAUAUUACUGGAGUUUCUCUUGUCUCCAUUCCCUUCUGGGGUAGUGGUUAUGGGGGUUAGAAGAGGAAAAUGAUUGUGGCCCUGUCUGCUAAGAAUAAAAUUGGCUUUGUUGAUGGUACAUGUCCCCGACCAGCCACUAAUGUGGCUGAACAAAAGUUAUGGGACAGAUGUAACAAUAUAGUAAUCUCCUGGUUAACUGCUUCCUUGUCUCCUCAAAUAGCUGAGAGUGUGCAGUAUUUUGAUACUGCAUAGAGUAUAUGGGCACAGCUCGAAGCUAGAUAUGGUACUGCUAACAGAACCAAAAUUUUCGAACUAAAAAGAGAACUCUCUCAUACUUCUCAAGGAUCUCUAGAUGUAGC